rnacentral:rRNA from 1 species
CCUACGGGAGGCAGCAGUGAGGAAUAUUGGUCAAUGGGCGCGAGCCUGAACCAGCCAAGUCGCGUGAGGGAAGACGGUCCUAUGGAUUGUAAACCUCUUUUGUCGGGGAGCAAAAGACGCCACGCGUGGCGUUCCGAGAGUACCCGAAGAAAAAGCAUCGGCUAACUCCGUGCCAGCAGCCGCGGUAAUACGGAGGAUGCGAGCGUUAUCCGGAUUUAUUGGGUUUAAAGGGUGCGCAGGCGGAAGAUCAAGUCAGCGGUAAAAUUGAGGGGCUCAACCUCUUCGAGCCGUUGAAACUGGUUGUCUUGAGUGAGCGAGAAGUAUGCGGAAUGCGUGGUGUAGCGGUGAAAUGCAUAGAUAUCGCGCAGAACUCCGAUUGCGAAGGCAGCAUACCGGCGCUCAACUGACGCUCAUGCACGAAAGUGUGGGUAUCGAACAGGAUUAGAUACCCUAGUAGUC